CCAGGAGAAUCUGGGCGAAGUGGACCUCCAGGCCCAGCAGGCCCACGAGGUCAACCAGGUGUGAUGGGUUUCCCCGGUCCAAAAGGUAGUGAGGGUUCACCUGGUAAAAAUGGAGAAAGAGGUGCACCUGGAAGUCCUGGUGGACAGGGACUACCUGGAAAGGACGGUGAAGGAGGAGCUCAAGGUCCACCAGGACCUGCCG